rnacentral:tRNA from 1 species
GGGGUUAUGGCUCAGUGGUAGAGUACUUGCCUUGCAUGUAUGAGGCUCUGGGUUCAAUUCUCAGUACCA